rnacentral:rRNA from 1 species
GAUGAACGCUGGCGGCGUGCCUAAUACAUGCAAGUCGAGACGGUAAGGCUCCUUCGGGAGUACACGAGCGGCGGACGCUGAGUAACACGUAGGAACGUACCCAAACUGAGGAUAAGCACCAGAAAUGGUGUCUAAUACCGCAUGUGAUCUUCGGAUUAAAGCUUCGGCGGUUUGGGAACGGCCUGCGCAUGAUUAGCUUGUUGGUGAGGUAAUGGCUCACCAAGGCUAUGAUCAUUAGCUGGUCUGAGAGGAUGAUCAGCCAGACUGGGACUGAGAACGGCCCAGACUCCUACGGGAGGCAGCAGUAGGGAA